AGAGUUUGAUCAUGGCUCAGGACGAACGCUGGCGGCGCGCCUAACACAUGCAAGUCGAACGGUGAACGGAGCUUCGGCUCCGGGAUCAGUGGCGAACGGGUGCGUAACACGUGGGCAACCUGCCCCAGACCCUGGGAUAACCCCGGGAAACCGGAGCUAAUACCGGAUACUCCGGCCGAACCGCAUGGCUCGGCCGGGAAAGGUCCGCCGGUCUGGGAUGGGCCCGCGGCCUAUCAGCUUGUUGGUGAGGUAACGGCUCACCAAGGCGACGACGGGUAGCUGGUCUGAGAGGACGACCAGCCACACUGGGACUGAGAUACGGCCCAGACUCCUACGGGAGGCAGCAGUGGGGAAUCUUGCACAAUGGGCGAAAGCCUGAUGCAGCGACGCCGCGUGAGGGAUGAAGGCCUUCGGGUCGUAAACCUCUUUCGGCAGGGACGAAGCGAUCUCGUGACGGUACCUGCAGAAGAAGCCUCGGCUAACUACGUGCCAGCAGCCGCGGUA
rnacentral:rRNA from 1 species